ensembl:lncRNA
GCAUGCCUCUGGUUUAGUGUUUUGCUGCCAAUAUUUAUUUUAUAACAUAGUUGUUUCUUAAAAAAACAAUAUGUAUAUUGAAUAAUUUUCUCCAGUGUCCUACAGUCAAGUCUUUAAAAAGGUUCAGUAAGAUUUGGAUUAAGAACACACCAAUCUGCUUCAGUUUUCUGGAAAGCAUAACACUUCUUAUCCUCCACAUUCAUGUGAGAAGAGUUAUCAAAUGAGGUCUGAUUUAAUUAAAAGUAGGCUGGAAAUGUCUGAUGUGGAAGACCAAGUGCAAUGUAAGACCCUCUAUCUCCUGAGAGCAUCUGUCCUUCUCCCAUGAAGAAAAGGUACAUGAGGCAUUCAUAGAGAAAAGAGAAUGACAACAUGCAAGGAGGAGGCUGGCACUCUGACUGCUCAUAAAGAUGGCCAUGCAGGCAAGUGAAAAGAGAGACAUUUCCAAAUUCUCAGUGCAUUUUGGAUGGUGGAAGCUUUCCUCAGUGCCCUGUCUUUUGCCAAGCAGCUCGGAAGGGUGAAUGUGUUCUGGAGGGUACAUAUGAUUCAGGUGAUUCAAAGUUGCACUGCCCCAGAAAUCUAAUCUACAUGUGGAUGUAAUGAAAUAUGAGCCAACAAAAGACAAUUUCUCUAAUGAAAUACUCUGGAAGGGAGAGUUCACCUGACACAAAACUGUGUUUAUAUUCCGUUGUUCUAGUCUAGUCUACAGGGUAAUUACAUUUGGUGGGGUUAACAUGUAUCAGGAAUCUCAUUGAAGGUCCAAUAACAGUGUUUAUAGCUGUCAAGUGUAUUGACUGAAAGCGCUGAUUGCUAUCUCCAGCGUUACCAAGCCCGUUGGGGUCUCCAGUCAAAUCAUUAAGGACAAUGCACAUAAUAAUCACAAGCACUUGGUGUCUUCCUGUUAGGGAAGUGGCAUUUUUUCCUUCUUUUCAAAUCCUUAUACCUGUGGCUUCAGUGUGGACCUCAGGAACUCCUUUGGUUAAUAUUUUCUGCCUUGUCCACAACUGAGUCCAGUGCUAUGAAUUCAAAGAAAUAAUAUUUUGAAGACACAUAAAUACUUACAGCGGGAGGAGGUGAAGCAAACACUGUAAAGGGAGUUUGUGACUCCUGUGCUACUGCUUUCCGAAGGGCUGUUGGAUUUUGCAGUACUUGCCCAGCUCUGGUUAUGCUUGAAUAUAUCAGUAUGGGGAAAUAGCUCUCUAAUGGUGGAAUGCAGAAUUCAAGUGCUCUUGUCUCAGCAUU